CUCUGCAAUUACGUUUAAUGCUAUUUUAAAAAGUUUUUUAUGAUUAAAGAAUAAAGGUUUCAUGUUGAAUUUUAUAUUUAUUUAUAUGUUUUAUUAUUUCUUUCUGGUCGCGCCAGUUCCUUCACCUGAAACAAAUAUAACCACCAGGAUCUUGUGGAUGAACGUGUCCUGCUACACCCGAUGUGAACAUGUCGCGGUACUGUUUCACGGAUGCCGGACAUUUUACUGUCUUGUUUCGCACCGAGCAUCGCCAGAAUUGUCUCUCUCCGGACGUUACCUAAAAUGAUAAAACAAAUCAUGUGUAAUAUUUAUUUCAGUGAAUUCAACAUGCGUGUAACGAAUUAUCAUGCAAAAUCACAGAAUUUUAUAUUAUUAUAAACACGUUCAUGUGAGCUGCAUUUAUCAGACAUCUUAUGUAUUAUCAAUGUAUGUAAUUCAUUUUAAUGAAACGUAAAAUACAUACCCCCUUCGUGUAAGAAUAUCCAUCCGAACUGAUCAGUUUCGCCGCACCUCGCUUAGUCCCGGACUCCACAAUCUCAUACGUAAUUACGGCGUCGUCGGCGGGGAUUUCGUCGUUCAGCUCAAGGUCAUCAGGUAAAGACGUGUCUACCACUGGUGUUGGUCGUUCGUACUCUUGGGCUAGGUCGAAUGACACAUCUGGUAUGGUAGUGUUACCCCCAUGUCUUAGAUCUUCUUGUGCAAGAUUUCUGAGUGGCGAUACCGGGAUUUCAAGUGGUGGUGGUGGUUCGUCGACGUUCCUGCAACCAUUACAGAACCACUCUAUCUGUACCUCACCACUGCGCAGUUGCAUGUACUGCUGAUGGGUAAUUUCUAAAAAUAAAAAAUAAAUAAAGCAAAGUUAUAACAUAAUAUGAUUUUUAUAUUUACAACCAUUAUCUGUUAAUUUACGUUAAUUAAGGCAUUACUUAUGAUCAGUUUUAAAUCACGACAUUACAGGCGACAACACAAUUCACAAUUUUAAUGUAUCUAUAUUAUCACUAAGAAAUUACUAAGACUUACCGGUGUGUCUACGGUGACUCCAUCUUCCACAUGAAUCACAUGCAAUAGCGUGCGCACGAGAAGUGACCUCAAUAUUGCAGUAAAUACAUGGAUGUUCAGCCAUGAUUGUAUGAUACAGUAAAAGAAAUCAUCUGCCUAUAUACAUACUUUAACAUUUGAGCAACAACACUUACCAUAAUUACUCGAUAACCCGCGAAAAUUUUCUCUUCAUCCUCUCAUUGAUUUCUUAUUUGACAAUGACCAUGAUAAUUUUAUAAUUACCUAAUUACAUAAUAAUGUUAUUUUUACCACAAAUAAACAUCCUUUGAUGUCACCACCAGUAUUUUUUGGUAAACAUGAUUAAAGAAGGAAAACGUUUGUUUAUUUCACAGUUUGAAAGUUACUGG